GCAACUCGCCUGCAUGAAGUCGGAAUUGCUAGUAAUCGUAGGUCAGCAUACUACGGUGAAUACGUUCCCGGGCCUUGUACACACCGCCCGUCAAACCAUGAGAGUUGGCAACACCCGAAGUCGGUAGUCUAACCGCAAGGAGGACGCCGCCGAAGGUGGGGUUGAUGAUUAGGGUUAAGUCGUAACAAGGUAGC
rnacentral:rRNA from 1 species